rfam:Cavia porcellus supercont2_7 genomic scaffold, whole genome shotgun sequence.
GCCGGGCGUGGUGGCAUGCGCCUGUAGUCCCAGCUACUCGGGAGGCUGAGGUGGGAUCGCUUGAGUCCAGGAGUUCUGGGCUGCAGGGCGCUAUGCCGAUCGGGUGUCCGCACUAAGUUCAGCAUCAAUAUGGUGACCUCCCGGGAGCAGGGGACCACCAGGUUGCCUAAGGAGGGGUGAACCGGCCCAGGUCGGAAACAGAGCAGGUCAAAACUCCCGUGCUGAUCAGUAGUGGGAUCGCGCCUGUGAAUAGCCACUGUACUCCACCUGGCAAUAUAGUGAGACCCUGUCUCUA